rnacentral:rRNA from 1 species
UGAAGGAUAAAAAUCAAGUGGAAUGAAACAUCUGAGUAGCUUGAAAGUAACCAACAGGGGCAGUAUGUGUAGCGGUGAGUGAAAGUACUGUAGUCUUAAAGUAUCA